rnacentral:rRNA from 1 species
UGAGGAAUUUUGCGCAAUGGGAGCAAUCCUGACGCAGCAACGCCGCGUGGGUGAAGAAGGCCUUCGGGUUGUAAAGCACUUUUUGAGAGGAUGAGGAAGGACGGUACUCUCAGAAUAAGUCUCGGCUAACUACGUGCCAGCAGCCGCGGUAAUACGUGGGGGGCAAGCGUUGUCCGGAUUUACUGGGUGUAAAGGGUGCUCAGGCGGAUUUGUAAGUCAGAGGUGAAAUCUCACAGCUUAACUGUGAAACUGCCUUUGAUACUGCAAGUCUAGAGUAUGGAAGAGAGUGAUGGAAUGUCUGGUGUAGCAGUGAAAUGCGUAGAUAUCAGAUAGAACACCAAUGGCGAAGGCAGUCACUUGGUCCAUUACUGACGCUAAAGCACGAAAGCGUGGGUAGCAAACA